GACGAACGCUGGCGGCGUGCCUAAUACAUGCAAGUUGAGCGCUGAAGGUUGGUACUUGUACCAACUGGAUGAGCAGCGGACGGGUGAGUAACGCGUGGGGAAUCUGCCUUUGAGCGGGGGACAACAUUUGGAAACGAAUGCUAAUACCGCAUAAAAACUUUAAACACAAGGUUUAAGUUUGAAAGAUGCAAUUGCAUCACUCAAAGAUGAUCCCGCGUUGUAUUAGCUAGUUGGUGAGGUAAAGGCUCACCAAGGCGAUGAUACAUAGCCGACCUGAGAGGGUGAUCGGCCACAUUGGGACUGGGACACGGCCCAAACUCCUACGGGAGGCAGCAGUAGGGAAUCUUCGGCAAUGGACGAAAGUCUGACCGAGCCACGCCGCGUGAGUGAAGAAGGUUUUCGGAUCGUAAAACUCUGCUGGUAGAGAAGAACGUUGGUGAGAGUGGAAAGCGCAUCAAGUGACGGUAACUAACCAGAAAGGGACGGCUAACUACGUG
rnacentral:rRNA from 1 species